rnacentral:rRNA from 1 species
AGCGAACGCUGGCGGCAGGCCUAACACAUGCAAGUCGAACGAACCCUUCGGGGUUAGUGGCGGACGGGUGAGUAACACGUGGGAACGUGCCUUUAGGUUCGGAAUAACUCAGGGAAACUUGUGCUAAUACCGAAUGUGCCCUUCGGGGGAAAGAUUUAUCGCCUUUAGAGUGGCACGCGUCUGAUUGGCUAUUUGGUGAGGUAAUGGCUCACCAAGGCUACGAUCAGUAGCUGGUCUGAGGGGAUGACCAGCCACAUUGGGACUGAGACACGGCCCAAACUCCUGCGGGAGGCAGCAGUGGGGAAUCUUGCGCAAUGGGCGAAAGCCUGACGCAGCCAUGCCUCGUGGAUGAUGAAGGUCUUAGGAUUGUAAAAUCCUUUCACCGGUGAAGAUAAUGACUGUAGCCGGAGAAGAAGCCCCGGCUAACUUCGUGCCAGCAGCCGCAGUAAAAC